GGAGACGUCCACAGUUCAAAGGAGAGCUAGUAGCCUCUUAGAACAUCCUCUAUCCAUCCACCUUCAAGUGAUCCAGAGUUUAAGCCAUACCCAGGCUGCACCAAGUGGUAUCAGAGCCACUUGAAGGUUAGGGUUUGCAAUUUGACUACUCAGAUCAUUCAUUCCAUCAAACACUUCUCUUAUCUUUCUAUCUGUUGUAAGCCAGCUGAGCCAACCCUGCAAAUCAAAAAAAAAAAAGAAAAGAAAAGAGAUCUCUGAUCCAAAUCAAAAAAAAAUAUAUAGCUGAAGAGUAAUCCAGCUAGCUGAGGAGAAAUCCAGCUCAGGGUGGUAAAGUCAGCUGGUGCCUAAAUCUCUUAAUACUUCCUAUCUGAUUCAUUGGGGUUUUAGUUCUAGAUCUUAAGUGUAGAACUUUGUUUUUCAACUGAACUUGUGGGAAGAGCUGAGACUUGGCGAUUUGAAAACUUGAGUGAGAGAGAGAUAUAAUUUUGUUCCUGGCUUUGUGUUUUCUCUAACUAUUUCAGGAACAAUGAGUGAAGAGAGGCGAGAUGGAAAGCAACCUGAGAGUUCAGGAGAACCGGCUGUCCAGCAAAUCAACCUCAACCAAGUUCAAUUUGAGGCUAUGAUAGCUGAGAUAACCAGAAGAAUGCAAAACACUUACAACCGUGUUCAACAAGCUAAUGAAACUUUACCUGGUGAUAAUGCAGGGCAAGAGAGGGACGCGGUUGCUGCUGGAGUUCAGAGAGCACGCAUUGGACCUAUAAGAGGGCAACGAGUUGAGCUUAGGGGUCGUGGGAUUUAUGGAGAACAUUAUCAAGAAGAUUCAGCUGAUGAAAGUGAUGAUGGAUCUCAGGCUAGUCAUCAUGGUAGAAAUCACAACCGCAGGCGACCAGCUACUGAUAACCUAGGCAAUCUCAAGCUUAGAAUCCCUCCAUUCCAUGGGAAGAAUGAUCCUGAUGCUUACUUAGAGUGGGAGAAGAAGAUUGAACUGGUUUUCAAUUGCCAACAGUUCACUGAGGAGAGGAAAGUGAGACUAGCAGCUACUGAAUUCUGUGGUUAUGCUAUUAGCUGGUGGGAUCAGAUUGCUACUACCAGGAGACGCAAUGGAGAGCCUCAGGUAGCUUCAUGGUUUGAGAUGAAAACUGUGAUGAAGAAGAGAUUUGUUCCUAAUCACUAUGGAAGAGAUCUACACCAGAAGUUGAGAAGGCUUUCUCAAGGAUCUAAGAGUGUAGAGGACUAUCACCAGGAGAUGGAAACACUCAUGUUGAAAGCUGACUUAGAAGAAGAAGUAGAAGCUACUAUGGCUAGAUUCCAAGGAGGUCUUAACAGAGAUAUACAAGAUAGGUUGGAGCUACAAGAGUAUGAGGACAUGGAUGAACUGCUACAUAAGGCUAUUUUGAUUGAGCAGCAGAACAAGAGGAAGAGCUCUACCCGGUCUUCAUACACCCCUGCCUCAAAACCGGCCUACUCCAAGGAAGAUAAGCCAGGGGAUAAGUCCAAAGAAGGGUCUUCUUCAGUGGAGAACAAGAGAGAUGACAAGGGUAAAGGAGUAGCCACACCUACUAAGACCAGGAACAUUAAGUGUUUCAAGUGUCAUGGCUUUGGUCACUAUGCUAAUGAGUGCACCAACAAGAAGGUGAUGACUAUCUUAGCCGACGGGGAGGUGAUAUCUGAAGAGGAGGACGCCGGCCAAGAGUCUGAUGAGGAAGGCGUGGAGUACCCUGUCCGUGGAGAGCUAUUAGUCACCAGGAGACUUCUCAAUGCUCAACCUAAACCCAAAGAAGAUGAGCAAAGGGAAAACUUGUUUCACACCAGAUGCUUGAUUCAAGAAAAGGUUUGUAGCUUGAUCAUUGAUGGAGGAAGUUGUACUAAUGUAGCAAGUGCUGAGUUGGUGGAGAAGUUGGGUCUUCAAGUGUUCAAGCAUCCUAAGCCAUAUCUGUUGCAAUGGAUCAAUGAUGAGGGAGGAUUAAAGAUCACCAAGCAAGUGAAGGUAUUGCUAUCAGUGGGAAAGUACCAGGAUGAGAUCACUUGUGAUGUAGCACCCCUGGAAGCUAGUCACAUCCUUCUUGGACGUCCAUGGCAGUAUGAUAAGAGAUCAGUACAUGAUGGCUUUACCAACAGAUACACUUUUAUCCAUAAGGAGAAACAAGUUACCCUGGCGCCAAUGACCCCUCAGGAGGUACACCAGGAUCAGAUGCAUCUCAAAAUGAAGAGAGGAGAGUCCAAGGCCGCCAGCAAAUCCUUGCUUCUUGAAGAGACCAGCCAGGUAAGUAAACUCAACCUCUUUGCUACUGCUAAAGAUAUCAAAACUGCUGUGAUUGAACAAUCAAAUUUGAUACUAGUAGUUUACAAAGAAUUGUUGAGCUCUACUACUAACCCUGCUCCUGAGACUCCAGAGGAGAUUGAGUGUCUUUUGCAGGAGUAUAGAGAUGUGUUCCCAGAGGACAAUCCCAUAGGUCUGCCGCCUAUUAGGGGAAUAGAGCACCAGAUUGACUUUGUACCAGGAGCUACUUUACCAAACCGUCCAGCAUACAGGACCAACCCUGUGGAGACUAAGGAGCUUCAGAAACAAGUCAAUGAGCUAAUGGAGAAGGGACAUAUCAGGGAGAGUAUGAGUCCUUGUGCUGUACCUGUCCUCUUGGUGCCAAAAAAAGAUGGAAGCUGGAAGCUGGAGGAUGUGUGUGGACUGCAGAGCCAUCAACAACAUAACAGUUAAGUACAGACAUCCUAUUCCUCGCUUAGAUGAUAUGCUAGAUGAGUUACAUGGUUCAUGUGUCUUUUCUAAAAUUGAUUUAAAGAGUGGUUACCACCAGAUUAGAAUGAAAGAAGGAGAUGAGUGGAAAACUGCCUUUAAAACUAAGCUAGGAUUGUAUGAAUGGCUUGUGAUGCCUUUUGGGCUUACUAAUGCACCUAGUACCUUCAUGAGAUUAAUGAAUCAUGUCUUGAGAGCUUUGAUAGGACGAUUUGUAGUUGUUUACUUUGAUGAUAUCCUGAUUUACAGCAAGACUAUGAAAGAACAUGUUAAUCACUUGAAGCAAGUUCUAGAUGUGCUUAGAAAAGAAAAUCUGUAUGCUAACUAUAAGAAGUGCUCUUUUGGCACAGAUAACCUUGUCUUUUUAGGUUUUGUUGUGACUUCACAGGGCAUACAGGUUGAUGAGGAAAAGGUGAAGGCUAUCAGGGAGUGGCCGAUUCCUAAAUCUAUUGGAGAGGUCAGAAGUUUUCAUGGACUUGCUGGCUUCUACCGGAGGUUUGUGAGAGAUUUCAGUACAGUUGCAGCACCCCUGACUGAAGUAGUCAAGAAGAGUGUAGGUUUCACUUGGGGACCAGCACAAGAAGAGGCAUUUCAAAUGCUAAAAGAGAAGUUAACAAGUGCUCCCUUACUUGCACUUCCUGACUUUUCUAAGACUUUUGAAAUUGAAUGUGAUGCAUCUGGUAUUGGAAUUGGAGCUGUGUUGAUGCAGGAUAAGAAACCCAUAGCUUAUUUCAGUGAGAAGCUAGGAGGCGCCACCUUAAACUAUCCUACCUAUGACAAGGAGCUGUAUGCCUUGGUGAGAGCUUUACAAGUGUGGCAACAUUACUUGUGGCCUAAGGAGUUUGUGAUCCAUACAGAUCAUGAAUCCCUUAAACAUCUCAAAGGGCAACAGAAGCUGAACAAGAGACACGCCAGGUGGGUGGAGUUCAUUGAGACCUUUCCUUAUGUCAUUCACUACAAGAAAGGUAAGGAGAACGUAGUGGCUGAUGCACUCUCCAGAAGGUAUACUCUUUUAUCUUCAAUGGAAACUAAACUCUUAGGAUUUGAACACAUCAAAUCUUGCUAUGCUAAUGAUCCUGAGUUUAAAGAUGUGUUUAGAGAAUCUGAGAAACAUGCUAGUGGAAAAUUCUAUCAAGUAAAAGGAUUUCUUUUCUAUGAUAACCGCCUGUGUGUUCCUAGUGGUUCUUUGAGAGAAUUGUAUGUUAGGGAAGCUCACGCAGGAGGGCUGAUGGGACACUUUGGGGUCGCCAAAACACUCUCCACCUUGCAGGAGCACUUCUACUGGCCGAGUAUGAAGAAAGAAGUGGAGCGUGUGUGCUCAAGGUGUGUCGUGUGCAAGCAAGCCAAGUCUAAGGUCCAACCAACAGGUUUGUAUACACCUCUCCCUAUUCCUACUGCACCAUGGAUUGAUAUCUCUAUGGACUUUGUCUUAGGAUUGCCUAGAACUAGGAAAGGAAGAGAUAGCAUCUUUGUGGUUGUUGAUAGAUUUUCUAAGAUGGCUCACUUCAUACCUUGUCAUAAAACUGAUGAUGCAUCUUUGGUAGCUGAUCUAUUCUUUAGAGAAGUUGUUAGAUUGCAUGGUAUGCCUAGGACUAUAGUUUCUGAUAGAGAUACUAAGUUCCUUAGCUAUUUCUGGAAAACUCUGUGGGGAAAGUUGGGAACUAAGCUAUUGUUUUCAACUACUUGUCAUCCCCAAACUGAUGGUCAAACUGAAUCAGUCAAUAGGACAUUGUCUACUCUUUUGCGUGCCAUCAUUAAGAGUAACAUUAGGACAUGGGAGGAUUGUUUACCACAUGUAGAGUUUGCAUAUAACAGAGCAGUGCAUUCAGCUACUAAACUCUCUCCUUUUCAAGUUGUUUAUGGGUUUAACCCAUUGUCUCCUCUUGAUUUAUUUGCUUUACCUGUAAAAGAACAAACUAACCUUGAUGGCAAGCAAAAGGCCGAGUUUGUUUUGUCUUUGCAUGAACAGGUCAGGAAGAACAUUGAGGAGAGGACCAAGAUGUAUGAGAGGCAGAAGAACAAGGGGCGCAAGGAGCUAGUACUUGAACCGGGUGAUCUUGUGUGGAUUCACAUGAGAAAAGAGAGGUUUCCUGUUGAGAGAAAAUCAAAGUUGCUGCCAAGGAAAGAUGGACCUUUCAAAGUGCUGAAGAGAAUCAACAACAAUGCCUACCAGAUUGAUCUUGAAGGGAAAUACACAAUCAGUUCUACUUUCAAUGUUUCUGACUUGGAUCCUUUUAUUGCAGAUGAUUUGGAUUUGAGGUCAAAUCCUUUUAAAGGAGGAGGGGAUGGUGUAGCCAUGAGUAGAGACAUUGGAGAGCUGAGUGAGUCUGAUGAGGGAGAGCCAGACUUGAGAAGAGAAGAGCCAGACUUGAGCAGAGAAGAACCAGAGCCAGACUUGAGCAGAGAAGAACCAGACUUGAGCAGAGAAGAACCAAAUGAGCUAGCCAGCUUGUGGAGUGGACCAGUAACCAGAUCAAGACUGAGAGCACAAGAGGAGAGGCUCCAGGAGAUAGCCAAAACCGUGGGCCUUGGUUCAAGACAAGGAGAUCAAGAUAAACCAGCUUGUUGGUUUAAUUUAAUUACUUUGUAAGGGUUUUGGUUAUUGGGCUUUCAUUUAAUUUAAACCAAAGACAAUUAGGAUUAGAAUUAGAAUUAAACCACCUUGGUUUAGCAUUAGGGUUUUCGAUUUUCACUUUAAGAACAUGGGGGCUGCAGCCUUGUUUUCUCAACUUUCAAUCUAAGAAUUAUUCAGUCAACUUUGUUGUCUUGUCUCUAGCUUUCUCUGUUCAGCUCUAGAACAUUGAUCUCACUUAAAGGAAGGAAUUCCUGUGAAUCCCAUCUUAGACAAUACAAGGUGAUCUUGUGUCUUUGAGUAGCAAACCAUCCUUGGCGCCAACCCAUAGGCUCAGGGAGACGUCCACAGUUCAAAGGAGAGCUAGUAGCCUCUUAGAACAUCCUCUAUCCAUCCACCUUCAAGUGAUCCAGAGUUUAAGCCAUACCCAGGCUGCACCAAGUGGUAUCAGAGCCACUUGAAGGUUAGGGUUUGCAAUUUGACUACUCAGAUCAUUCAUUCCAUCAAACACUUCUCUUAUCUUUCUAUCUGUUGUAAGCCAGCUGAGCCAACCCUGCA
rnacentral:lncRNA from 1 species